rnacentral:lncRNA from 1 species
CCCAUAUGAUUUCCAUCUUAUUCAUUUUUUCUCAUUCAUCUUUGUAGAUAGCGUAAAAAACUUCAGAAGGGUACCACAAGUAAAUAGUGAUAAUGAUUGUUUCUUUCUUGUUCUAACAAACACAAACUUGAUCACAAGAAUGAAAAAAUACAGGACCUGCAAAUCAGUUCACUCCUAUGGUCUCACUAGAAUUAAUUAGAAGUAUAUUUUGGUGCUAGAGAAUUGUAAGAAUUUCUGAUUUUGGUGGCUCCCAUGGAGGAGCGAGCUUCAUUCAUCUAUAUAUGUUUACUGUCCAGUAGCCAUGACAACCGCCGGGGGAGGCAUGGCAUGACCUGCAAAUUUAUUCCGUUAUGGCAAGGUGGAGCGCCCUUUUCUGGGAUACGGCUGCAUGAACUGCUUCCAGAAGGAGGCACAGUACCUGAAUUCAGAGACUGUAAAGAGACAAGUCCUAUCUUGAUCCACUCUUCUUUCUCCCCAUCAAGAACCCUACCAGCACUGUGUGGCUGGACGCUCAGAACAAGAACGAAGUGUCAUGACAGCUAAAACAAUGUCCAGAAACCUCAUGAUCUUGGCGGGUUAAGCAAAGAGGAGAUGAUCAAAGAAAUAUUUUUAGCUGGACAAAUUAAUAUGCAUAUAUGAUAAAUGGAAAAGAAUCAAUAUCUCGGUUAUUUAUAGGGUUAUUCGAUUAAAAGGGUUUUUGAUAAAAAUACUCUAAUUAUUUUCUUGUAAAAAUAACUUUCUUUUAAAACAGGUUACUUUAAAUAAUUGAAAUGGUAGAAGGCAUUUACGUAAAAUAAUAAUAAUAAUAAUAACAGGUUACUUUUAAAAAUAAAAACAAAAACAUGGAAAUGGUUAAAUUCACGAUUUAAAAAUUAUUUCAAUGCUUAACUAAACAAGUGGCUCUAAAUGCCUAAGUGAGAAAAUGGCUUUGAAUGCCUAAGUGAGAAAGUGGCUUUGAACGCAUAACUGAGAAUGUGCCUCUAAACACCUAAUUGAGAAAGUGGCUUUGAACACCUAAUUAAGAAAGUUACUCUAAACGCCUAACUGAGAAAGUGGCUAUGAACGCCUCAGUGAGAAAGUGACCCUAAAUGCCUAAUUGAGAAAGUCGCUUUCAACGCCUAACUGAGAAAGUGACUUUGAACGCCUAAGUGAGAAAGUGGUGCUGAAGGCCAAACUAAGAUGGUUGCUUUGAACACCUAACUCAACAAGUGGAUCUAAACACCUAAGCGAGAAAGUGGCUAUGAACGCCUAACUGAGAAUGUGCCUAUGAAUGCCUAAUUGAGAAUAUGCCUCUAAACUCCUAACUGAGAAAGUUGCACUAAACGCCUAAUAGAGAAAGUGGGUAAGAACGACAAAGUGAGAAUGUUGUUCUAAACUUCUAAUUGAGAAAGUGGCUCAGAACGCUUAACUAAGAAAGUCACUCUGAACGCCUAAGUGAGAAAGUGGUUGUGAAUGCCAAAGUGAGAAAAUGGCUCUGAACACCUAAUUGAGCAAGUGACUCUUAACUCCUAAGUGAGAAAGUGACUCUAAAUGCCUAGUUGAGAAAGUGGCCUUGAAUGUGUAACUGAGAAAGUCACUCUAAACAUCUAACUAAGAAAGUCGCUAUAAAGGCCUAAGUGAGAAAAUGGCUCUCAACGCCUAACUGAGAAAGUGGCUCUCAACGCCUAAGUGAGAAAGUGUUUUUGAUCACUAAGGUGAGAUACUGGCUCUGAAUGCCUAAUUGAGCAAGUGGCUCUGAACGCCUAACUAAGAAAGUGAUGAUGAAUGCCUAAAUAAGAAAGUGGUUCUUAAGGCCAAAAUAAGUCACUGGCUUUGAACGCCUAAUUGAGCAAGUGGUUGUGAAUGACUAAAUGAGAUAGUGGUUGUGAGCUCCUAAGUGAGAAAGUGUCUGAAUGCCUAAUUGAGAAAGUGGCUCUAAAUGCCUAUAUAAGAAAGUUGUUGUGAAGGCCAAAGUGGGAAAAUGGCUUUGAACGCCUAACUAGACUAGUGGCUUUGAACGCCUAAUUGAGCUAGUGGCUCUAAACAUCUAAGUGAGAAAAUGGGUAUAAAUGCCUAAGUGAGAAAGUGCCCUUGAACACCUAACCAAGAAUGUGCAUUUGAAUGCCUAAUUGAAAAAGUCGCUCUCAAUGCCUAAUUGACAAAGUGGCUUUAAACACCUAAUUGAGAAAGUGGUUCUGACCGCCUAACUGAGAAAGUCGCUCUGGAUGCCUAACUAAGAAAGGGGUUUUGAACGCCUAAGUGAGAAAGUGGUUGUGAAACAAAAGUGAGAAAGUGGUUUUGAAGGCCUAACUAUGCAAGUGGCUUUGAACGCCUAAGUGCAUGAGAAAGUGGCUCUAAACGGCUAAGUGAGAAAGUGGCUCUAAACACCUAAUUGAGAAUGUGCCUCUAAACGCCUUACUAAGAAUGUGCCUCUGAACGCCUAACUGAGAAUGUGCCUCCAAAUGCCUAAAUGAGCAAGUGGCUCUGAACGCCUAAGUGAGAAAGUGGCUCUAAAGGCCUAAAUGAGAAAGUGGCUCAGGAUGCCUAAUUGAGAAUGUGCUUCUAAAUGCCUAAUUGAGAGAGUCGCUAUGAACUUCUAAGUAAGAAGUGGUUGUGAAGCCAAAGUGAGAAUAUGGCUCUAAAUGCCUCAUUGAGAAAGGGGCUUAGAACACCUAAUAGCGUUUUUUUUUUAAAUUAAUGCCUGAUGCGACUCAUGGUAGCUUAGCUUUAAAGGCGUAUCAACAAAAUUUAUACCUUAAAUACUAUUACUAAAGUAGCCAAGCUACUAUAGCAUAGUGGUUCUAGGAUCGUUCACUGGGAAAGGUUUUCGCAAACACAAGUGAUAUUCAAAUUAGGAAAAUAGGUGAUUUUCUUAUGGAUGUUAGCUUUAAAAGAAGAUGUAAAUGUUUUAAAAAG